rnacentral:rRNA from 1 species
CAGUAGCCGCGGUAAUACGAGGGGGGCAAGCGUUGUUCGGAAUUAUUGGGCGUAAAGGGCGCGUAGGCGGUUUGGCAAGUUUGGUGCGAAAUCUUCGGGCUCAACUCGAAGUCUGCACAGGAAACUGUCGGGCUUGAGUAUUGGAGAGGUGAGUGGAAUUUCCGGUGUAGUGGUGAAAUGCGUAGAUAUCGGAAGGAACACCUGUGGCGAAAGCGGCUCACUGGACAAUUACUGACGCUGAUGCACGAAAGCUAGGGGAGCAAACAGGAUUAGAUACCCGAGUAGUCCCUGUCUCUUAUAA